GAUUAAUUGGUGAAAUUCACGUCAUUAUUUCAUGAUGAAGAUGUUUAGUCUUCUUUAUCU
rnacentral:tRNA from 1 species